GUGGGGAAUUUUGGACAAUGGGCGCAAGCCUGAUCCAGCAAUGCCGCGUGCAGGAAGAAGGCCUUCGGGUUGUAAACUGCUUUUGUACGGAACGAAACGGUCCUGGUUAAUACCCGGGGCUAAUGACGGUACCGUAAGAAUAAGCACCGGCUAACUACGUGCCAGCAGCCGCGGUAAUACGUAGGGUGCAAGCGUUAAUCGGAAUUACUGGGCGUAAAGCGUGCGCAGGCGGUGCUGUAAGACAGGCGUGAAAUCCCCGGGCUUAACCUGGGAAUUGCGCUUGUGACUGCAGGGCUGGAGUGCGGCAGAGGGGGAUGGAAUUCCGCGUGUAGCAGUGAAAUGCGUAGAUAUGCGGAGGAACACCGAUGGCGAAGGCAAUCCCCUGGGCCUGCACUGACGCUCAUGCACGAAAGCGUGGGGAGCAAACAGGAUUAGAAACCCCUGUAGUCC
rnacentral:rRNA from 1 species